UACGUAGGGAGCAAGCGUUGUCCGGAAUUACUGGGCGUAAAGGGCGCGUAGGUGGGCGCUUAAGUCAGGUGUGAAAACUCCGGGCUCAACCUGGAGACUGCACUUGAAACUGGGUGUCUUGAGGGCAGGAGAGGAAAGUGGAAUUCCUAGUGUAGCGGUGAAAUGCGUAGAUAUUAGGAGGAACGCCAGUGGCGAAGGCGACUUUCUGGACUGUACCUGACGCUGAGGCGCGAAAGCGUGGGUAGCGAACGGG
rnacentral:rRNA from 1 species